GACGAACGCUGGCGGCGUGCUUAAAACAUGCAAGUCGAACGGAUUUGUUAGCUGGACAAAGCAAUCUCUGAGAGAUUGUUUUGUCCAGUUGAUAGAUUAGUGGCGGACGGGUGAGUAACGCGUGAGCAACCUGCCUAUUACAGGGGGAUAACAGCUGGAAACGGCUGCUAAUACCGCAUGAGACCACAGGAAGGCAUCUUCAAGGGGUCAAAGGAGUUAAAUCUGGUAAUAGAGGGGCUUGCGUCUCAUUAGAUAGUUGGUGGGGUAAAGGCCUACCAAGUCGACGAUGAGUAGCCGAUCUGAGAGGAUGAACGGCCACACUGGAACUGAGAAACGGUCCAG
rnacentral:rRNA from 1 species